rnacentral:rRNA from 1 species
CAGCUCUCCGAGUAGUGUGGACGUUUAUUGGGCCUAAAGCAUCCGUAGCUUGCUAGAUAAGUCCUCUGUUAAAUCCACCGAUUCAAUCGUUGGAUUGCGGGGGAUACUGUUUGGCUAGGGGACGGGGGAGGUCGACGGUAUUUCCGGGGUAGGGGUGAAAUCCUAUAAUCCCGGGAGGACCACCAGUGGCGAAGGCUGUCGACUAGAACGCGCCCGACGGUGAGGGAUGAAAGCUGGGGGAGCGAACCGGAUUAGAUACCCGCGUAGUCC